rnacentral:lncRNA from 12 species
CCCGGAACUUACGAUUCUGUUUCUGUUGCAGACCUACAUGAAGCUGCACCGGUCUGGACUAAUUUAUGGGGUUCACAGUCCUGUUCCAUUGUCCUCUGGAAUUUCCUGCCCUGUUCCUAUCUCCCAGCCCCAGCCUGGCUGCUCUCUACCCGCACCCCUCCUGCAUUUUGGGGACCACAGUGUCCCCCAGUUCCCAGGCAUGGCGGUGGCAACAUCCCAACCAUCGGUGAUGGUGCUGAGAAGCCACCAGGGAAGUAUUUUUAAGGAAGUGGAGCAGCA